UGUGUACUCCCUCCGUUCGAAAAUACUUGUCAUCAAAAUGGAUAAAAAGAGAUGUAUCUAGAACUAAAAUACGUCUAUAUACAUCUCCUUUUAUCCAUUUUGAUGACAAGUAUUUCCGGACGGAGGGAGUACGUA
rfam:Triticum aestivum genome assembly, contig: Triticum_aestivum_CS42_TGACv1_scaffold_406995_5BL